CCUACGGGGGGCAGCAGUGGGGAAUAUUGCGCAAUGGGGGCAACCCUGACGCAGCCAUGCCGCGUGAAUGAAGAAGGCCUUCGGGUUGUAAAGUUCUUUCGGUAGCGAGGAAGGCAUUUAGUUUAAUAGACUAGGUGAUUGACGUUAACUACAGAAGAAGCACCGGCUAACUCCGUGCCAGCAGCCGCGGUAAUACGGAGGGUGCGAGCGUUAAUCGGAAUAACUGGGCGUAAAGGGCACGCAGGCGGUUAUUUAAGUGAGGUGUGAAAGCCCCGGGCUUAACCUGGGAAUUGCAUUUCAGACUGGGUAACUAGAGUACUUUAGGGAGGGGUAGAAUUCCACGUGUAGCGGUGAAAUGCGUAGAGAUGUGGAGGAAUACCGAAGGCGAAGGCAGCCCCUUGGGAAUGUACUGACGCUCAUGUGCGAAAGCGUGGGGAGCAAACAGGAUUAGAUACCCGUGUAGUC
rnacentral:rRNA from 1 species